AACACCAAUUUGCUGGGACAAAAUUACAGACAUAGGAAUUAGUUCAUGCUCCAGUGAUUCUUCAUUAAUACAUGCAGCCUUCAUUGGCAUUUGCAAAGGAAUGUGAAGGACGGAAAACUAAUAGGCAGGCUUUGUAACCAACUUGCCCUGCUGCCAGCCCUUGGAGCAUCUUUCAAGUCAUCACACUUGGCUACUCUCUCAAAUGGCAUCUCAUGUGUGCACACUUCACCAUGAAAAGUCAAAGUGGAGAGCACCAGAAGUAUAUUUUUGCAUUUGAGAUGAAACAAAUUUAGGGAGAAAAUAGCUUGCUCAAGAAACUCUGCUGCUUGAGGCAAAGGUCAAGAUGGUCAUCCCUUCAUUACAGAAGCAGAUCGGAUGGAAGAACUUAUCACACGGCAUCAGCAAUGGAAAAGCAUUAAGAUUGGGAAUCAUUGACAGGUUUUGCUGAUCAAUGAGAAGAAACA